AUUGAACGCUGGCGGCAGGCCUAACACAUGCAAGUCGAACGAGUGGCGGACGGGUGAGUAAUGUCUGGGAAACUGCCUGAUGGAGGGGGAUAACUACUGGAAACGGUAGCUAAUACCGCAUACCAUCAGAUGUGCCCAGAUGGGAUUAGCUAGUUGGUGGGGUAACGGCUCACCAAGGCGACGAUCCCUAGCUGGUCUGAGAGGAUGACCAGAGACACUGGAACUGAGACACGGGGCAGACUCAUACGGGAGGGAGCAGUGGGGAAUAUGGCACAAUGGGCGCAAGCCGGAUGCAGACAUGCCGCGUGUAUGAAGAAGGCGUUAGGGUUGUAAAGUACUGUCAGCGGGGAGGCGUUACCCGCAGAAGAAGCACCGGCUAACUCCGUGCCAGCAGCCGCGGUAAUAC
rnacentral:rRNA from 1 species